UGGUGCUGGCAGAUCUGCUUCUAGGGAGUUCUCAGGAAGCUUCUGGUCAUGGUGGAAGGCAAUGCGGAGCCAGCGAGUCACAUGAUGAGACCCCGAGCAAGAAAGAGAGGCCGGGAGGUGCCACACUCUACAACAACCAGAACGUGCCUGUGUAAUCAGAACCCAGAAAAGGGAAAAGAGCAUUCUUCACCACACAGAAGUCCUGGUGACAGUCUUUCUAGUUAUCGGCCCACUGCAAGGGUAACCCUAUCCAAACUGCGUUGAUUAGGUUUUCAUAUUUCAUAGAAAUGGAUUCAUACACUACUUGCUCUUUUGUGUCUGGAUUUUUCAUCAUGCAACAUUAUUUCUCAACCUGGAGCUGUGCGGACUGAGACUGAGAUGCAUCGCUGAAACUCUCUUUAGGUGUUCCCUACCAUUUCUUCUUGGAAAAGAAGGUUUUACCUCCUGGGAUUUUUGAGAACCUCUAACUUCUCCAUUGGGGACCAUCUCCAGGUACCACCAAAAAAGAGCACAACAGCAGCCUUGCGGAUAAGUCCUGGUCUGGAGUCAGCCACCGCUGCACACACCACUCAGAGCUGCAUCAUCGGGUUACCCCUGGAAAGGCUGCCCACACACCCACAUCCAGGGGUGUCUCGUCACUGCUGACGACUAGCACGGAACCUGAAAGCUCAGCAUGAGAUGAAGUGGCUGGAGGCACGUGAGUCCUGCACUGAUAGAGGCCGGUUCUGUCAAGCCUCACCUGGAUGAUGUGUGUGACUCUUCCCAUAGAAAGGAGCAGGCUCUCUCAUGAAGCCUCCAUUCUAGCAUUUUGUGAUCAUCUAUGACCUUAGAGGGGUCCUCUAUAACCCUGAGUCCCAAACAGGUGAAUACAGAGUGGGCUCACACUUAUUUCUCCAUUAUUCCUGUGUUCUUUCAGGAGGCUGACCAUCAAACCUACUUAGAAGUCAGACCUUGAAUGUAAGUACAUGUUGUUCAUUAUCUAUAUCUUUUGCAUGACAGAAUGUCAGUUAUAGGAUA